rnacentral:rRNA from 1 species
CACUCCUGCGGGAGGCAGCAGUGGGGAAUUUUGGACAAUGGGCGAAAGCCUGAUCCAGCAAUGCCGCGUGCAGGAUGAAGGCCUUCGGGUUGUAAACUGCUUUUGUACGGAACGAAAAAGCUCCUUCUAAUACAGGGGGCCCAUGACGGUACCGUAAGAAUAAGCACCGGCUAACUACGUGCCAGCAGCCGCGGUAAUACGUAGGGUGCGAGCGUUAAUCGGAAUUACUGGGCGUAAAGCGUGCGCAGGCGGUUAUGUAAGACAGAUGUGAAAUCCCCGGGCUCAACCUGGGAACUGCAUUUGUGACUGCAUGGCUAGAGUACGGUAGAGGGGGAUGGAAUUCCGCGUGUAGCAGUGAAAUGCGUAGAUAUGCGGAGGAACACCGAUGGCGAAGGCAAUCCCCUGGACCUGUACUGACGCUCAUGCACGAAAGCGUGGGGAGCAAACAGGAUUAGAUACCCUAGUAGUCCCAUGA